UGGCCUGGUGUAGGACACCAGGCUUUUGACCUGACGGUCGUGGGUUCCAGCCCGG
rnacentral:tRNA from 1 species